AAUUUCCUGCCUGCUGCCCCUGCCAGAGCCGUGCCCAGUCCAUGCCCAUGUAAAUGUUCCCACAGCCUUGCAGAGGAGGCACCAGAACAGCACAAGCAAAUGUGUUUACAGCUUCAAGCUUAGAUUUGAAAUGUGUUUCUAACCUGACAUCUGUGUAUUUUCAGCCCUUUCCAAAGCUCUUGUUGUGCUUUCUAUGGCUUCUGCUUCAUUAUUCUAAUUUAAUAAAGCUGCAGUGAAGGCAGA